GACAGAGGCCUCGAGCGUUAGGCGGAAUCACUGGGCUUAAAGCGUGUGUAGGCGGACCGUUAAGUACCUUGUGAAAUCCCACGGCUCAACCGUGGAACGGCUGGGUAUACUGGCGGUCUUGAGCCACCUAGGGGCGAGCGGAACAAAUGGUGGAGCGGUGAAAUGCGUAGAUAUCGUUUGGAACGCCAAUGGUGAAGACAGCUCGCUGGGGGUGUGCUGAC
rnacentral:rRNA from 1 species